rnacentral:rRNA from 1 species
UACCAGCACCCCGAGUGGUCGGGACGAUUAUUGGGCCUAAAGCAUCCGUAGCCGGUCCUACAAGUCUUCCGUUAAAUCCAACUGCUUAACAGGUGGGCUGCGGAAGAUACUAUAGAGCUAGGAGGCGGGAGAGGCAAGCGGUACACGAUGGGUAGGGGUAAAAUCCGUUGAUCCAUUGAAGACCACCAGUGGCGAAGGCGGCUUGCCAGAACGCGCUCGACGGUGAGGGAUGAAAGCUGGGGGAGCAAACAGG